rnacentral:rRNA from 1 species
CCUACGGGUGGCAGCAGUGGGGAAUAUUGGACAAUGGGCGAAAGCCUGAUCCAGCCAUGCCGCGUGUGUGAAGAAGGCCUUCGGGUUGUAAAGCACUUUCAGUGGGGAAGAAAGCCUUGGGGCUAAUACUCUCGAGGAAGGACAUCACCCACAGAAGAAGCACCGGCUAACUCCGUGCCAGCAGCCGCGGUAAUACGGAGGGUGCGAGCGUUAAUCGGAAUUACUGGGCGUAAAGCGCGCGUAGGCGGUCUGAUAAGCCGGUUGUGAAAGCCCCGGGCUCAACCUGGGAACGGCAUCCGGAACUGUCAGGCUAGAGUGCAGGAGAGGAAGGUAGAAUUCCCGGUGUAGCGGUGAAAUGCGUAGAUAUCGGAAGGAAUACCAGUGGCGAAGGCGGCCUUCUGGACUGACACUGACGCUGAGGUGCGAAAGCGUGGGUAGCAAACAGGAUUAGAUACCCCAGUAGUC